AGGGGCGUCAGUUCACGCUUGACGCUUUCUUCAUGGAGUUACUGCAGAAACGGCUUCAAGGAGAGCAAGAGAGCCGUGCUGCUAUGGAGCGUCAGUUCACCCUAGACGGGUUUUUCGUGGAGUUGCUGCAGAAGCGUCUGCAGGAAGAGGAAUAAAGCGAUUAUGUUACCGAGCGUCCGUUCACCUUUGGCGCGUGUUUAUGGAGUGACUGCAGAAACGGCUGCAGGUCUAAGAAGAAAAACCGUGCUGCUAUAGGUCACGCCAGCCACCUCUUCGCCCACCACGGAGGCUGCGCAAUUCACACCCCGCAGCUCCUCAGAGCCGCCGCGUCAGACGCUGUGUGUGUGGGGGCGUCGCCGUCAACUCGGCGCCUGUGGAAGACC